AAGUGUGGUGGAAAAUUAAGUUGAAAAAUUCAAAAGGAAUAAUGGUGGACCCACCACUUAUCCUUAAAGGGCUUUGAGACCAAGUUUGGUCUCCAUUUUCUCUCUCUCCCGUAUGUAUUCUCUCUCCCUCAUUUCUUGAUUUUUUUUUUUUUUUCCUUCAUCAAAGAUUCAAACUUUGAUCUCUUCUUCAUCUUUUAGAGUUUUAAAGUGCCGUUUGCGGCAAAUUAAAAAGCGCAUCGUGAUCUUUGAUUUGAUCGGAGCAAUUCCUCGUUUGGUGCACCUUGGGAUUUCGAAAUUCUAAGGCUUGAAUUUGGGAAAAAUUGGGACUUUUCAUCAAUUUGAGGAUACGGGAAGGAAGUGGUGGACGACGCUCCUCCACAGGUUUUGAUAGGUACUCGUCAGUACCAGGCGUAGAGCUUGAUCGUGUUGAUGCAGAUACAGACACCCACUCUUCUGACUACAUAGGAUAUUCUUCCUUUUUAGCUUUGUAUUUACAUUCUGUAAUUUUAAUUAUUGUUUGGGGAUUAUUAAGGGUCCACUAGAUGGAUUCCCGAGUUGUACGGAUUGGAAGGAUUUAAAUGAUAUUAAUUUAUUAUUUAAAGUUUGAGGAUUUU